CCUACGGGAGGCAGCAGUAGGGAAUAUUGGGCAAUGGACGGAAGUCUGACCCAGCCAUGCCGCGUGCAGGAAGAAGGUCCUCUGGAUUGUAAACUGCUUUAGACGGGGAAGAGUAAGGAUCAUGCGUGAUCUGAUGACGGUACCCGUAGAAUAAGCACCGGCUAACUACGUGCCAGCAGCCGCGGUAAUACGUAGGGUGCGAGCGUUGUCCGGAUUUAUUGGGUUUAAAGGGUGCGUAGGCGGGAGAGUAAGUUCGCUUUUAAAGCCGGCCGCUUAACGGUCAGGUAGGGGGCGGAUACUGCUUUUCUUGAGAGGGCUCGGGGCUGGCGGAAUUUGUGGUGUAGCGGUGAAAUGCAUAGAUACCACAAGGAACACCGAUCGCGUAGGCAGCCAGCCAGGGCCUUUCUGACGCUGAGGCACGAAAGUGCGGGGAGCAAACAGGAUUAGAUACCCUGGUAGUCCGCACUGUAAACGAUGCAUACUCGGUGUCGGCUCGUUAGAGCCGGUGCCUGAGGGAAACCGAUAAGUAUGCCACCGUGGGGAGUACGCCGGNAACGGUGAAACUUAAAUGAAUUGAGGCUUGGAGAGNGCGAGGCGACGACGAGGGAGAGG
rnacentral:rRNA from 1 species